rnacentral:lncRNA from 1 species
UCAUUAAUGUCUCCUAUCUUUAAGGUUUUGUUGCCUCCCAACAUUAUUUUCCUAUAACAGAGCUUCAUAGUAGCAAUCUAGAGAGCCAACUUCAUUUCAGCGAGUUAAACCUCUGUAUGGUUAAAUAAUUCAUGUUCACAGUUAUUUUAGGAUGAAGCAUAAUAGCAGUAAGUCUUCUUUACAACAGGGGGUAGAUCUUCUUCCAUUUAUGAACCUCAAAUUCCUCAUCGGUCAGAUAAGGGUUAGAUGGGAAAAUGCCCAUGUACUAGUUGUGCUGAUUAAAAUAGAUUCAAAUGUGAGAGGGCUUGUGUACGGAAUGUUGUAAAAAUUUUGUCAUCACAUUUCAAUCUAACUCUUUCACUCUAUAAAACA